ensembl:lncRNA
CCUGCUGCUGGGGGGGAAACUGAGCUCUGUGGCUCCAGGGGUGUUGUCAGCCUGCCUGUAAUCAGGGUCUGGGCGUGCGAGCCUCUAUGCUCUGCUGGCAGCCUGUGUGGGGUGACCACCCUGUUUGGGGCAGGUCAAAGUGCCCCCGACUGGGAGAGAAGGAGCCUCCCGUGGCCUUAGGGAUGGAGGCUGCCCUGUAAGUCAGGGAGCAGCUGUGCCCCACAGUCCCAGGCCCUUUGCCAUCGAGGCAGUGGCUGGGGGUCCCCUGUAGGCAGGGAAGCAGCCUCCUUUGCCGCUGCUUUUAGUGUGCCCAGCUCCAUUUGCCCAGUCUGCCCGCCUGUGCGAUCCCCUGCAGCACUGGCUGGAGCCUCCGCAGUGUGCCACUGAGGAUCUGCUGUCAAAGAAAGAAGCGAUAUGGAGAACUGGGAGGCCAGCGCGAGCAAGAAGCAGAAGCUUUUCACUGUCUUAUUUUGUGCAAUUCUCUUUUGUGUUUAGUAAUUGCAGUUCAAGCAUGUAUGUUGUAGUUGAUUUUUCCUCAUUGGCUUCAUUUUCUCCUCUGAAUAAAAUUUUUGUGCAUGUUGAAGUAGUUUCUUCUUCUCAUCUUUGAAACUGUAAAGCAAUCACAGGAGAUGACGGUCUGUAUUUGAGGUACAGGCUCUACACAACAAGAUAUCUAAAAGGAGGGUUUAACUCACCUCUCCCAGCCACAGUUUUGGUUAAAGGGUGAGCUGAGGAAUGCAGCCUUCUUCAGUUCAACCUCUGCCUCACUAGAAGUUUGGGGCUGGGGGUGGAAUUGGUGCUGACUGACUCCACGCUAUCCUGGAAGCGCCACUGUGCUGAUGAGUAUAGAAGGGUGAAUCUUGCCCCUCCAGGCACUCACAUGCUUGCAUACUGUUUCAGGCUUUGACCUGGCAAAUCCACAGCAGGCCCAUAUUGAAUUUUGAUAUUCAAUUUAGCAGCAUGAAGGCAUUUGUUUCUUACUGGUUGAACUGUGUUUGCCAUUGGUUUCUUUCCUCCACCGCUAUGGAAAGGAAAAUCCUUCAAGCUGAUCUGGGUGUUUUGGUGUCCUUUAUUUGAGGCAUAGUGCUGACUGAUGUAGCAGAGCUCUUCCCUUAAUCUUGCCCAUGUCCUGUGUCAAGCCAGCUCAGGGUAGUUUUUUAGCUGAAUAAGAUUGGCUCAUUUCCUGGAACACUCAUGCUGGACUCUGCUCCAGUUUUUUCUUCAGAGGUGUCAUCCAAAUGCAAUACUUUUAGAUUUAAGGGAUGACUGGGGUGUGCUCAGGAGUGCUUGGUUCCCUACCAUCUGUUAGUGUGGUUCUCUCUGCUGGUGCUUUAUCCCUCCUCUUCUUUAGAGCCUGAACUAUUGCACAUUCUGGGAUGAUGUAGCUGUAAUCAAUGGGGGUGCUCAUUUUGUUUCUCUGUUAUGUUGUGAUUUAGUUUCAGAGGUAGCUGAGCCCUGUGUGGCUGUUGGCUCACUCCCCCGCUUCCCAAAGGGAAGGAGGAGAGACUGGGGGUUGGGUGAUCAAGUAGAACUAAUGGAUUGGGAUUUAAAACAAUUUACUAAUGUUGAGAAAAGAAAUGGGGAAAGAGGGUAACAGCUAUGAUACA